CAACUCUCAACAACGGAUAUCUUGGCUCCCGUAACGAUGAAGAACGCAGCGAAAUGCGAUAUGUAGUGUGAAUUGCAGAAUUCCGUGAACCAUCGAAUCUUUGAACGCACAUUGCGCCCAAGGCUUCGGCUGAGGGCAUGUCUGCCUCAGCGUC
rnacentral:rRNA from 1 species